CCUACGGGAGGCAGCAGUGGGGAAUAUUGCACAAUGGGGGAAACCCUGAUGCAGCGACGCCGCGUGAGUGAAGAAGUAAUUCGUUACGUAAAGCUCUAGCAGCAGGGAAGAAAAUGACGGUACCUGAGUAAGAAGCCCCGGCUAACUACGUGCCAGCAGCCGCGGUAAUACGUAGGGGGCAAGCGUUAUCCGGAUUUACUGGGUGUAAAGGGAGCGUAGACGGUGCGCCAAGUCUGGAGUGAAAUGCGGCCGCUUAACUGCGGAACUGCUUUGGAAACUGUCGAACUAGAGUGCGGGAGUGGUCAGCGGCCUUCCUAGUGUAGCGGUUCCAUGCGUAGAUCUUAGG
rnacentral:rRNA from 1 species